UUCAGCACUGUAUGAAUUUUAUGUUGUACACCGCCCGGAGCCCUUCGGGGAUGGGGCAGUAUAGAAAUCAGGCAGUAUAGAAAUCAGAGAGAGAGAGAGAGAGAGAGAUAAACUAGGCAUUUCUCUGCUCAUCCCCCUUUCCCUGGGUCUCUUUUUGUAUUUUUAUGAAAAAAAUAUGGGAAAAUUGGGUGUUUUUUUCUUCCCAUAGUACCAGAAGAAGUGUCACGAAAGCUCCUGCAGUACCUGUUGUUAGUCUUUACGAUGCCAUUGAACUGUUGCAAUUUGUUCUGCUUCUCCUGCCAAUUGUGGAGCUUAACUGUUGGGAUUUGUUUCUCCCAGGGGACCCUGACGAUGAUCAUUGCCAAGGAUGUGAAGAGCCGGACCAUCUCACCUAGUUGGUACCUGUCUGGGGCAGGCAGCACUGCAUCUGCUGGCCCGCUGGAGAGGAGUUCAUCAAAGCCGCUGGGGAUGAUUCCAGAGUUCCAGUUGAUUACUACAGAAAGGAAAUAGAUUGGGAGACUCAUGGAGCUCAGCUCUGGGCUGGAAACCAAGGUCAGCAUGGUGAGGUGUAAGCCUACACAUCAGACCCUCCUAUCACCCACAUGGCACGUCUGGCUGGGCAGUGGAGGCGCUGAGCCACUCCUUCACUCUGCUGCAUCAGGAGAGCAACCAGCAGCAGGCCCGAAUCCGG